UAAUAGCAGCAGCAGCAGCAGCAGCAGCAGCAUAUCGGGAGUAGCAACUACAAAAGUAACAACAAAUGAACACAAACACUGUUACCAUAACAACCACAAGUGCAACUACAUCA